AGAUUGAGGUCAAGAGUUAGAGACCAGCCUGGCCAACGUGGUGAAACCCUCUCUACUAAAAAUACAAAAAUUGAUUUGGCUGAUCUGGCUGGCUAAACCGGUGUCCCCUUACUCCCUCAAUGCUCCAAGUGUGUCCCUCCCGACCCUCCCGAAGCUGUGCAGUGUGUCGAAGAGGACAACCAUCACCAAUAGAGGACCGGUCUUCCUUUAAGGGUAUAUGUGUAGCUGGGUUUCCAUUAAAACCUCCAAUCUCUCAAAAAUGCAAAUUAUCAGUACUCAUCCCAAACUUAGGAAAUUAGAAAACCUGGCAGGGAGCCAGCAAUGCUUU
rnacentral:snRNA from 10 species